CGGACGGGUGAGUAAUGUAUAGUUAAUCUGCCCUUUAGAGGGGGAUAACAGUUGGAAACGACUGCUAAUACCCCAUACUCCUUUUAUCUUAAUGGUAAUUGGGAAACGUCUCUUCGCUAAAGGAUGAGACUAUAUGGUAUCAGGUAGUUGGUGGGGUAAGAGCCUACCAAGCCAAUGACGCCUAGCUGGUCUGAGAGGAUGAUCAGCCACACUGGAACUGAGACACGGUCCAG
rnacentral:rRNA from 1 species